AUAUCAAUAAGCGGAGGAAAAGAAACCAACUGGGAUUGCCCUAGUAACGACGAGUGAAGCGGCAAUAGCUCAAAUUUGAAAUCUGGCUCCUUUUAGGGGUCCGAGUUGUAAUUUGCAGAGGGUGCUUUGGCGUUGGUAGCGGUCUAAGUUCCUUGGAACAGGACAUCGCAGAGGGUGAGAAUCCCGUUUGUGGUCGCAUGCCUUCGCCGUGUAAAGCCCCUUCGACGAGUCGAGUUGUUUGGGAAUGCAGCUCUAAAUGGGAGGUAAAUUUCUUCUAAAGCUAAAUACUGGCCAGAGACCGAUAGCGCACAAGUAGAGUGAUCGAAAGAUGAAAAGCACUUUGGAAAGAGAGUCAAACAGCAC
rnacentral:rRNA from 1 species